rnacentral:pre_miRNA from 1 species
AAAAAGACAAAUCCUGAGUUUCCAUGUCCAACGUUUGACUGUUCGUCUUAUAUGAAUUUUUUUUAUAAUUAGUACUUUUUAUUGUUAUUAGAUGAUAAAAUAUGAUUAAUACUUUAUGCGUGGCUUGUCUUUUUAAUUUUUUUUAUAUUUUUUUUUUCAAAUAAUACGGACGAUCGACAUGAAACCCAAG